rnacentral:lncRNA from 1 species
AUGCAGCAAACAAAUGCAUUAACAAAUAUCAGGCUUUUUCAAGUGAACACGUAUAGCAUAUGAAACAUGACAAUACCGGGUACUAGCUUAUUGACGGUGUAACCAAAAUCAUCAUAGCAUCAAUACUACUGGCAUGAAACUAACCAAACACAAGUAUGAUAUUAACAACACUAUAACUGGCAUGGCAUGUGCUAUCAUGAAAGGCAAGCAUGACGUGGCAAGAAGUACUAACAUAAAGCACAAUUGAAAUCAUGGCAGACGAAACAAACAAGGACUACUACAACUAAACACACACACGAGGUACCAGCAAAGUCAACAUGCAAGUUUGGGGCUCACGAUAAGAGGUUGGCUUGCAUGGGGGUCGACAAAUACUUCGGGAAGAGGUGUGAAACAGUCGCGGAAAGAGCUGCCGGAAAUAGUUCUCUCUCGGAGGCGGCUGUUUACGGGCAAGGCAAGGUGGUCAUUUUCACUGUGUGAAAACAUAAUGAAAAUGAUACCAGCGGAAAGAGCUCGAUGAAUAGAGAACGUGCGCGCUGGAAUCACCUCAAUCGGAGUCAUGGUUGAAAAGUUACGGCCGUUCACUUUUUAGGAAGAAAAGUGGCAUAAACAAUGAACGUUCACAAUUUAAGCAUUUCGGCCGACUGAGCUGAAAAAGAGAAAGCACCUUUCUGAGAAUACGCCUUCAGAGAAGUGAAAACGUAUUUUCCUCUAACAAAGCACUUGAAUGCGCUUUCUAAACUGGGAAACAAACUCACUGGGAAUACGCCUUUAGCGCGGGGAAAUGCUACCUCUUGAGCACUGCGUUGGUUUUCCCUUGAAGAGGAAAGGGUGAUGCAGUAAAGUAGCGUAAGUAUUUCCCUCAGUUUUUUAGAACCAAGGUAUCAAUCCAGUAGGAGGCCACGCUCAAGUCCCUCGCACCUACACAAACAAAUAAGAACCUCACAACCAACGCGAUAAAGGGGUUGUCAAUCCCUUCACAGUCACUUAUGAAAGUGAGAUCUGAUAGAGAAGACAAAAUAAUAUUUUUGGUAUUUUUAUGAUAAAGAGUAAAAGUAAAGAAAGCAAAAUAAACGGCGAAAGAAAUAACUAGUUGACGAGAGAUUAAUAUGAUGGAAAAUAGACCCGGGGGCCAUAGGUGUCACUAGUGGCUUCUCUCAAGAUAGCAUAAGUAUUACGGUGGGUAAACAAAUUACUGUCGAGCAAUUGAUAGAAUUGAGCAUAGUUAUGAGAAUAUCUAGGUAUGAUCAGUAUAUAGGCAUCACGUCCGUGACAAGCAGACCGACUCCUGCCUCCAUCUACUACUAUUACUCCACACAUCGACCGCUAUCCAGCAUGCAUCUAGAGUAUUAAGUUCAUAAGAACAGAGUGACGCUUUAAGCAAGAUGAAAUGAUGUGGAGGGAUAAACUCAUGCAAUAUGAUAUAAACCCCAUAUUUUUAUCCUCGAUGGCAACAAUACAAUAUGUGUCAUUUCCCCUACUGUUACUAGGAUCGAGCACCGCAAGAUUGAACCCAAAGCUAAGCACUUCUCCCAUUGCAAGGAAGAUCAAUCUAGUAGGCCAAACCAAACUGAUAAUUUGAAGAGACUUGCAAAGAUAACCAAUCAUACAUAAAAGAAUUCAGAGGAGAUUCAAAUAUUGUUCAUAGAUAAUCUUGAUCAUAAACCCACAAUUCAUCGGAUCUCGACAAACACACCGCAAAAAUAAGAGUUACAUCAAAUAGAUCUCCAAGAGGCUGUGUAUCGAGAUCCAAAGAGAGAUAAGAAGCCAUCUAGCUAAUAACUAUGGACCCGAAUGUCUGAAGUAAACUACUCACACAUCAUCGGAGAGGCUGUGGUGUUGAUGUAGAAGCCCUCCGUGAUCGAUGCCCCCUCCGGCGGAGCACCGGAAAAGGCCCCAAGAUGGGAUCUCACGGGUACAGAAGGUUGCGGUGGUGGAAAUAGGGUUUUGGCUCCGUCUCUGAUGGUUUGGGGCUACGUAGGUAUAUAUAGGAGGAAGAAGUAGGUCGGUGGAGCUACGAGGGGCCCACGAGAGUGGAGGUCGCGCCAGGGGUUAGGCGUGCCCCCCUGCCUCGUGGCCUCCUCGUUGAUUGCUUGACGUCCACUCCAAGUCCUCUGGAUCACGUUUGUUCCAAAAAUCACGUUCCCGAAGGUUUUAUUCCGUUUGGACUCCGUUUGAUAUUCCUUUCCUUCGAAACACUGAAAUAGGCAAAAAAAAUAGCAAUUCGGGCUGGGCCUCCGAUUAAUAGGUUAGUCCCAAAAAUAAUAUAAAAGUGUAUAAUAAAGCCCAUUAAACAUCCAAAACAGAAUAUAUUAUAGCAUGGAACAAUCAAAAAUUAUAGAUACGUCGGAGACGUAUCAGGAAAUGGUCUCGGGGCGGGGGCGCCGCCACUUAUCCGACGUGGCGCUAGGCCAGGCCGUUCGGUCGCCGACAGGUGGGGUCGCGUUGGGAGGGGCCUGCCUGGCCUGGCGUCUUCAACCUCGCGCUCGGGCGCGCACUGUGCCGAGGGAGGGGCUCGCCUCGACGGCGGUCGCCGGCGACUCCGGCCACCGCAGACGACGGGCGACCUACCCACAAGCUCAGGAGCGAGAGGCACAUCCCGUGGUGGUGGUUGCCGCGGCUGAGACGCACUAGGGAGGGAGCAGCAGGACCCGCGGCCGAGAGAGGCUCCGGUCGCCGGCGGACUGGGUGCUCCGGUGGGGGAAUGGAGGGGCCGAGGCGACAGAGAGGUUUGCCGGACCCUGGGGAAUGCAGAAGUGGGGGUGGAACGGUGAGUGGGGUGGGACAUCACCAAAAUCGAGCAGAGCCCGAGGCGGCGGCCAUGGCGAUGGUGGGGGGUCCGGGAGGGGCUCCGGGCUUGGGGAGAGGCUCGGGGAGGGGGUUGUGGACUGCGAGGAAGCUCGGGGCGCUACUUAUAGUCAUGUGGGGAGAGCUCUAGAGGGAGGGGGCAAGGUGGCACGCGGCAGGCGAUGUGUCCGUGCGCCGGUGAAGGGCGCAGCGUCCGCAGGCGCGGCCAAAGGUCAUGGGGAGGGGCGCGCAAGGCGAUGAGGGGGAUCCGGACGAGCUCACGGGGCUGCGCAAUGCCAAGGGGGCUCAAGGGAGAAGAAGACAGAGGAGGAAGAUGACGGUGCACACGAGCGCUCACUGUUCGGCGACAGCGAUGGCUCAACGAGGAAGCAGACAAAGGGGGAAUGAGCUCCAGGGGAAAGCGACACCGAGGCUGAGCUGUAGGACAAGCUAAGACGAGCCAGAGCCAGCCGGAGCUGCUCUGCCGAGGCCAACAGUGCGCAGACCAUCGUUUUGGUCGGCAUCACUCGUGAUCACCACGGACACUGCAUGUUCUGGCCUCCUACUUAGUGCCAAACCUUGUCAGCAGAGGAGUCCUUCCAAGGCUCAUUAAAGAUGAGUUGAUGGCACGGGCAGAGGUGUAGUGAGCAGAGGGAAACAAGCUCCACAAGUUUGUUGUAGCAAAUUUGACCGCAUCUUGGUGAUCAAUCUAGUGAGGUUAAGGAAUAAAGUUGAUGUCUAGGAGGUUUUAGCUAGCAAGGACUACGGUCCUGGGAAGUUGGAGGGGAUUUGGGCAUGGAUUUAGCAUAGUUGCUUUGCAACUGCUAAAAUUAGUCCAGAAAACAAAUGAGGAAGGAGCACUCACUAGGAGCGUGGGAUAGGGCUACCACUUGGCAAAUCUUGAUGAUUUGGUCAUAUGUAGAUGCUGCAAAAAGAUCAUACCAAAUGGACUUGCCAAAUUGGUACUUGUUUCACAAGCAUCACAUCUCACCAAAAACUUGGGGAAAAUCUAUGAAAACAUUGGCUACAUGAAAUGAGCCAAAAUCUCGUGUAGGUGGGUUAUACUGAUAGGAGAAGGCUUGGGAAUAUUUUCAGACAUAAUGAAGCAAGAUAAAAUAUACUUACUUCACAAACUCGAAAUUUGGGCAGAAAAAAAGAAUUGCUCCUUUGCUCACAUAGUUCACUUAAAUGAACUGAAUUUAGGUGGAGGCUAAUGAUCUGAGAUACUUGAGAAGAUGGAAAAGUUUCAUCCCAUUUGGAAACUCUAUGAAGGUACUUCAUUCACAAAGUUGCAACCUGGUCAGAAACUUUGAAAAAUUGCAGAGGGAGCUAAGAUGAAGGGAAUUGAGAUGAUCUUUGGUAUCCAUGGGUGAUUUAUCCAUGUUAAUCACCCUGCCAAAUUUCAGCCAAAUUGGAAUUAAGAAUAAAGCACUUCCUUUGCAAAAUUUCAGAGAAAGCAGAAACUUGCAUUGGAUCAUGUGCCCAAUUUUUGAUCUGUGGAACAUGAGAUAAGGAUGGAACUAGUGAUUAUAUAGCAAGGACAAGAUCCACAAUUUAUGUGGGAAUUUCUCUGCUAUAAAAAUAGUAGUUCCUUUAGAAAAUGGCAGGAUUGGAAUAUUGGCAUAAAAUAAGAAAAGGCAACUUUCCUUAUUUAAUUAUGGCCAAUAUAUUUGCCAGAGCUUGGAUUAGGCAUAAAUAUCAACUCCACCAAUUCUCAUGAAUUUAGGAGAUGGCUAGCUAUGCCUUUGGAUUUUAUUCCUCAGAAAGGCAAGAAAGGAAUAAAUCUCAAUUCAAAAAUAUUGCAUAGGACUUAGCAAUAUUUUCCCAUAUCCAGGGUUCAGAAAGGUAGAAGGGUCUCUGGAAACAGAUGGGAUGAUCAACAGAUCAAGGAAAAUGAUGACUCCUAUGUAAUCACAGAGACCACAUUCAAAUUCCAAAAAUUUGGAAUUAGGGUUUGAGAGGAUUUGAGAUGGUACAAAAGAGGUCUUGCCCACUGACAAAGACAUGAGCAAGGUUUUGAAAGGUUGGAAAUGACAAGAAUCCUCAGAGGCAUCCAUCAAACUCAGGAGAAAGAUUUUGAAAAUGAUUGCCAGGAAGGAAUAACAACACAAAAAUUGACAACCCAAUUUUGGGGCUGUUACAACUCUUCCCCCCUUAUUAAGAAUCUCGUCCUCGAGAUUCCUAGGGUUACAGCACAAAUGAAAGGAUAACCAUUCCGGGGAAAACCUCGGGGUUAAUUUUUUUAACCCGUUGGUUAAAUUCAAAUGAGUUGGGGGCACCGAUAAUUGGUACACCCAGAGAGGCAAACCUGGUUAUAUCCACGGCUAGGGACACUCGAGAUCAAACUCCCGAAAUGCUAGAUGCACUCCAAUGAACAGUGGUUUCACCUGCUGACAUGUGGGUCCAGGGCCCACUGGCAGCCUCCUUCUUCUACCUCCGGAUUGCUGCUUCUCCUACGCUGCUGCUCCGCGUGCGGCUUGGCGCAGCGCGCAUCUAGCUCCUAGGGCGAUGAGGACCCUAUUGCCGUAGUGCGCGGCGUGCACGGCGCCGAUGCAGCGAGCACUCACGUCGCGGGCCAACACCUUGUCGGCACUGCUCGCGGAUUCACCUCCUGGACGCCGGUGAUCGGGCGACGAGCGGUUUUCCUGGACCUCGCUCACCGUACACCGGGAUUGGGCUAUAAAAGACGGCAACGCGGCUCUCCUCCAACACACCAACACAAUGCCGCUCUACUACCUCUUCGGUUUGGACGAGAUCUAGUCGAGCUCCUUCGGCGAGGAAAUGUUCUUGGCGGCGCUACGGUUGUUCCUCGCGGCGCUGCUGGGCACGCUUAUCGGCUCGUCGAUCCUCUUGCUGAUUCUCAUUACGAAUGAUCGGGUUCGGGACAACACGCGGCUAGGUGCGGUGGCUCGAGAUGCGGGAGAAGAUGGUGCACGGGGUGGUCCUCUGCCAUGCUUGAUCCUCCAUCGAUUUGCGCCGACGGAGUAAUCGCGUGCGGCGGUGGAGGAGUGGUGGCAAUGUGCCUGCACCACGCAAGGCAGAGAAGAUGGUGAUGGUGGGGUCCAGAUGCAGGUGAGGUGGCUGCGCCUGCUCAGCAUCACAUUGGGGUACGAGGGAAAAUUCCGCGGAUUGCUCCACAAAAAAGUAGGUGUCGAGCUAGAAUCGGAGUUGAAAAUCUGUAUCGGGGUAGAUGUACUGGAUCGAGCGAAAUAAAAUUGGUAGUGUUCCUCCGGAAAUGAAAUCGAGAAAAAGAAUUAGAGACGAGGAAUUGUCAGACGGAAAUGCCUCUGCGAGGCUCUGGGUCUAGGAAUCCGGCACACGGGAUAUGCACAGAUAGAGAGGGAUAUGUGACUUUGCACUCCCCCGAGUACUGCCCGAAUGUACUCGUGGGUGAACCGGGUAUGCGUGCAAUAUGCAGUAUAAUCUUAACUAGCAAACAGACAGAUGCAGCGAAUAUGCAAAAAGGAAAAACACGUCGGACAAAUCAUACUAAAGUGUUUGAAUGCUAGUGAGUAUAUGUAAUCCUGGUAUACAUAUACCUACACCAGCGCGCAUUUUAUUAGAGACUCGGGACGAGUCAAUGUUAUUUGGUGUAUGUGAUCUACUGAUUAAAAUCUUGUUAGCACCCAUUGCCAACCCUGUCAAACAUCUCUGUUUGACAGAGACACACACAAAACAAGCACGAAAACAUACAUAGAACACAGCAUACGGAUUACAACAGUACCAUCAUACAACAAAGCACGAAUACGCUACGCGCGAAACGAAACUACUCACUCCAGGAUACAUGGUUCUAUCCUCAUAUCGGGGAUGAACCAAAAGACCGACCUACUAGCAAAAACAACUGAUUGCGCGACCAAGGUCAAGCUGAGGACUGGCCUUGCUGGGGCUCUCCUGGAGGACGAAGACUGAGCCAAUCUCCAUCUUCAUCAUCCGACACUACUAUGGGUUGGGGUUCGACUGCUGGGGGUGUGGCUGAAAUUGAUCCAAGCAAAUGCUGGUGGUGGAUUCGGUAAAGAGCCUUGUCGAGGGUGAUGAUGUUUGGCCUGGGCCACAACACAGGCUGAGAGGGUAGCACUGGUUCGAAUGGCAUGGGGAGAACGGCUUGAGAUGCGAAUUUACGAGCUUCAUGAUAAGCUUCCUUGACAACUCGUACCGCAUCGUUGUCCAGGGUUCUAAAUUUGGCAAGCAUCUUAGAAAUCAUCAUACCCUGGGCAGUGAUAUAUUGCACCACGCGAGCGAUUGCGGGGUCACCUCCUUGGAUAACGGGAGAAGGCUGAAUUCCUGCUUCGGCCACAAUGGGGAAAAAGCAGAACUCCCGCCUUUGUUGCACUUGCGGAAACUUGGUUGGGAGGUAUAGUUUAGCCUUCACAGCAGCGGCCUGAAUAGCCAAAUCAGUAGUGGGCAUGGCUCUGCCCUGAAAAACCAAGGGCUGGCCAUCAGCUGUGGGACCUGGGCAGAUCUGCAACCUUGCAUCAUAGCGAUUGUAACAUCCCAAAUUUUCAAUUUGGAAUGUUAUACAUUAGAUCAUCAUUACAUAGCAUAUUUUAUUGCAUUUUGGCAAAUCCUCGAUAAAUCCUAAGCAACUCAAGGACCCUCGGAGAGAGUUGGGGAUUUUCCCGAUUUUUCAAAAUUGAUUUUUAUCAAAUAAUAAAACGAGGAUUUUGGUUUUAAUUAUUUUUCUCUCCGAAAAAAAUAUUUCAUAUUAAAAUAAAUGAGAGGAGAAAAUAUGACUUCUCCAAAAUAAUUGAAAUAUUGCAGGUGAAAUAUUAAAAUCAAAUAUUGGAUUUUAUUCAGAUUUUAUUUGCAAUUUUAAUUGCAUUAAAAAAAUUGCACGUUUUCAAAACUGCAUUUUUGGACCAAGAAAAUGUUCACCUUGUUCUAAUUAUUUUAAUUAGAGUGGGAAAAUUUGUUUUAUCAUUUUUCGAUUUUUAUUUAUUUUUCUGUGAUUUUUUUAGAUUCGGCGAAUAUUUAAAAAAAACCGCGCCCGACUGGGCCGAGGCCCAGCCGAGCCAGGCCGGCCCGCCCGCGUCGUCUCCCUCCCGCGCACGCUUGCGCCGCUGCCGCCAAGUCCGGCUCGGACACGCCGCCCCGCCGCCGCCUUGCCCCCUCCUCCACGCCACCCCCUCCCCCUCCUUAAAUACCCCCCACCCCGCUUCCUCUCCUNNNNNNNNNNNNNNNNNNNNNNNNNNNNNNNNNNNNNNNNNNNNNNNNNNNNNNNNNNNNNNNNNNNNNNNNNNNNNNNNNNNNNNNNNNNNNNNNNNNNNNNNNNNNNNNNNNNNNNNNNNNNNNNNNNNNNNNNNNNNNNNNNNNNNNNNNNNNNNNNNNNNNNNNNNNNNNNNNNNNNNNNNNNNNNNNNNNNNNNNNNGAGCCCCGCCCGAGCCCCGAGCCCCGCCGGAGUCCCGCCGGAGCUGCCGCCGAGGUUGCCAAGCCGCCGCUGCCCGAGUCCAGUUUUUUAUUAAAAAAACCGAUUCGGUUUAUUUAUUAAUUUUUUUCCUAAACCUUAGUUUUUGUUUUUUUCAGAUCGGUUUAUUUCUUUCGGUUUUAUUACUUAGUGAACGUUCACCGACCCGUUCGUUUAAACGAACGUGUUCGUCGGAUUGUCGCUGUUAACGAACGUCCGUUCGUUUAACUGUUCGUCAGUUUUUCUUUUUCGUCGGAUUUUUCGUGAUUAUUCCAGAUCGCGAUUUCCGAUCAGAUUUUCAUUUUCGUUUAACUUUUCGCUCGUUUAUCGAAAUCAGGCGAUUCAAGCGCCUAGAGUUUCGUCUCGAAAUUCUCUUUCCGUUUAACCCACUCAAACCAGUUUUUGCUACUGUAAAAUUUGACCUAGAUCCAGAUUAGUAAACGAAGCUUGUUUCUUUCGCCGUUUGAUUUUUGUUGCUUCGUUCAAUUUGAUUCUUUUUGCAAACCGGAGUUCUUAAGUUGAACUUUCUGGUUAGUUCUUCUAUUUGAGUUUUACUUAUGCAUUAGAUGAGUACUUAUUGUUUGCUUGUUUGUUUGCGAUAGAGUACCCGGAGUGCGCCGCUUGUUACUUCGAAUCGCUAGGUUACGCGGAUCAUCAGCAAGGCAAGUAACACUUUGAUCAUACUCUUCCAUACCCAGUUUUUAUUGCAUUAGAUCAAUCCUCAAACACUGCAUGGUUAGGAUCUAAUUAAACUGUGGGUAUUGGGAAGUAGUUGAGGUAGUACCUAUUACUUGUUUUAUUUAUCAAACCCUUGGGAGUUACUUCUACGAUUGCUUAUAUUGCUAUGCUAUGCUCGUAGACGUGGAUUGGGUUUGAGAAAUAUUCAUGACAGAUGUGAGAUUGUUAACUAAUGGUUUACUUAAGGUGGCAACUAAAACUCACACCUGGGUGGACUUAGGCACCUGGAGAACCCAGUGCUGCCUGUAUUUUUGGAUAUCCCGGAGUACCCGUGUGAUCAUCCUAUGGACCGCCACCCAGGCUCAAAGGGAUCAUGAGAUUAUGCAUGCUAGAAACUUCCGUGUGCAGCCACAAGCUAUUAUGGGCUCUAGCAUAGUUGAUUAAGUUGUGUGAGCUCUUGAAGAGGUGGACUAGCAGAUGUAGGGGAUGUAGGUGGUACGGUCUACCCAGAGUAGAGAGUUAACGCUUCUGAAAGACUGUGUCUCGGUCAUCCGUUUCUCAAACAUCAUGCAGUGCGAGAAUCAAGCGGAGGCGAUCGAGUCUUGUGGGGAAAAGUGCACAAACCUCUGCAGAGUGUACAAACUAAUCAUGGUUAGCCGUGUCCCCGGUUAUGGACAACUUGAGUAUCUAGGAGCUGCAUUAUCAUGUGAAUCUCAUCACCAUGUUACUUUAAUUAAUUUUGCUGGGUUAAUGAUGACACUUAAUUGGGAUUGAGUUGGAGGUACCUUCUCAAUGUUUAACAACCACCAUGAUAGUUAAAUAAAAUUUAUUCCUUUGCGGUAGGGAAAAAUUGGCUUUUCGCAAAACUGUAACCAUAGAGCUUUCCACCAGCCAUAUAUGCAUGUAGUAUAGCAUUAUUAUGUUCAUUAUUCUCCAUGUGUUACAUUGCCAGCAUAUUCCAUGUGCUGACCCGUUUUCGGGCUGCAACGUUUCAUGUUGCAGACUUUUCAGACGACGAGUAAGGUGCCUUAGGUCGUGGUCUUAUACUCAGUGAUGCCGUUGGAGUUCAUGGACUCACUCAUCUUCGAAGCCUUCUGCUGUUAUCGUAUUUAGAUGGCUUUAAGCCAUAUUUAUCAUACUUAUUCUCUUUUGAGAUAUUCGUUGUAAUAAGUGUGUGAUUGCUACUCUGUUAUAAAUCCUCCAUUUGUACUGUGCGUGUCAGCAUUACUGAUCCAGGGAUGACACUGGUGCACAGCAGCACAGACUGUUUGAGGUUUGGUUACUACAGCGAUGAAGGUGAGGGACGGGUGCCGAUUGGAACACCAGGUAAUCGGGGCUAGCAUUACAGCCAAAGGCUUUGGUGAGCAUCUCAGUAAGAAGAGGUGGAAAGCCUGGGUGGUUGAGGGCAAAGGUGCGGGUGUAAAACUUGGGAGCUUUGAGGACGCUAGCCAUGGCUGGAGUGUUGCUAUCUAGGCUUCUCUUCAGGGACAUGGCCGACUGAGGGGUGAGCGAUACGGCUAGUGGAAAAGGGAUUUAUAGGCAGCUACGCGGGACGUGCCCACAUGGUGUGGCCCCUUUCCCUUAAUGGCGAAGGGUAAUCGAUGCGGCCGACCAGAAUGGAUAGGGUUGUUAUUCGUUCCAUGGAUAACUAGGCGGGGACAGCGGGGUGAGGAUGUGUCGGUCCCGACUGCGCCACCUGUUGAUUAACAGUGGCCAUGACGGAUGCCAUGGAUGGGUCAAAUCCCUUAGGGUCAUUAUGGGUUGAUGGUAGCGGUGAUCUAAUGCUAGGAUAACCUAUGCCAGCCUGGCUGCUCUGAUACCAUCUCCUGUGGCACCCCGAUCCGCAUGGAGCAGGGGGCCUUCGCAUGUCAGCCCAGGAUAACACCGGACGCACGACAGGUCCAUGAUACAGCAUUCCAGGUACAAUAAUAUUCAUCAAAUACAUGUGUAUAUGAUUACAUCAUUGAUGAAUACAAUUACCUGGCAUAGCCCUAAGGCUAUUUAAAUGGUAGCGGAAGUCUAUUUACAUGGCGGCGGAAGUCUUGGUUUGGCAGCAUAACAACUCUGGCUAAGCUCCACAACUCACAGGACUGGCAAGAUUACGGCCUAGCACGACGGAACAAGCGAACAAUUUGGGCACGACCUACAAAACUGGCAUGACAUUCCAGGUUAGUACAUUGAAUGUACUUGCAAGACAACCAAAUAUAUAGCAUCCAAACGAGCAGAUGACAAAGCAAGAACCAAGCAUAUGCAACAGUCUACUUCAACACCACUUCUAAGCAUGGCAUGAUAUUCACUAGAAUCAUAAAUCAAACUAAGCAUGAACAUCAUCAUAGCAUCUACUAGUAUGGCAAUAACAGGACAUUUUUGAACUUACUUAUAACAUAGCAACAGCAAAAACAUAGCAUAUCAAAAUGUGGCAUGGCAUCAUGAAACUAUGCUGAAAACAAAUUACCAGUUACCUCCCAUGAAGACAUGUUGUAUUAACCUUAUGCAACAAUCACUUACUCUGCCACGGCUCCUCGGAGCACCCUCAUGACUUACCGAGACCGCGUCUCGUGACUCAUAUCAACACAUCAUCAUGACUUUUCGCGAUUAUCUCAUAAUCCAACUCACCGCAUUAUUUAUCACAUCUUAGUUAUCACAUUAGUUAUUAACAGGUUUAUCCUCCAUUUCCACAAAGACCCGAUAGUAUGACCUACUACGAACUGUGCGCAUGAUCGAGGACGCGGCUAUCGAUAGAUUUAACACACACACUCUGCAAAGGUAGCGCACUGUACCCACACCAAGGGACCCAUGGCCUCGCACUCCCAUUCGAGUGGACCAACGGCGUUCCGACAAAACCGAUCUACUACCAUGACACUCUCCCGGCCACUCCGACUAACACCCCUUUUGGGUUCAGUCCUGGGUGGCCCCGUGCCUAUCAAAGGCACGAACGGCCACCGUCGUGGCAAAACAAAAACGGUCCCAAACGGGGACAUGAGCUCAAAAACAAACCUGGGCACACAAGGCUUAUGUCCGCCUACCUGAUCAGGGUAGCGCGCGCCCAUAACCUUCCCUCGUUGGAGGCACCGGCAAGAGGCAUGACAAUAGACCCAGCUAGGACCUCCCAUAAAGGUAAAUGUGGUUGCACUGGAGAAAUCUCGAUUUGGUGGCACUAUGACUUGAUCCCAUCGAUGACGGAGGAGGUUUAUUAUUAAGUCAUGGUAUCAUCAAUAUUAUGAGCAUAUUUAACAAGGAUGCAACAAUGAACAUGCGGCAAACAAAUGCAUUAAAAAAUAUCAAGCUUUUUCAAGUGAACACGUAUAGCAUAUGAAACAUGACAAUACCGGGUACUAGCUUAUUGACGGUGUAACCAAAAUCAUCAUAGCAUCAAUACUACUGGCAUGAAACUAACCAAACACAAGUAUGAUAUUAACAACACUAUAACUAGCAUGGCAAGUGCUAUCAUGAAAGGCAAGCAUGACGUGGCAAGAAGUACUAACAUAAAGCACAAUUGAAAUCAUGGCAGACGAA